rnacentral:rRNA from 1 species
GACGAACGCUGGCGGCGUGCCUAAUACAUGCAAGUAGAACGCACAGUUUAUACCGUAGCUUGCUACACCAUAGACUGUGAGUUGCGAACGGGUGAGUAACGCGUAGGUAACCUGCCUGGUAGCGGGGGAUAACUAUUGGAAACGAUAGCUAAUACCGCAUAAUAUUAAUUAUUGCAUGAUAAUUAAUUGAAAGGUGCAAUUGCACCACUACCAGAUGGACCUGCGUUGUAUUAGCUAGUAGGUGAGGUAACGGCUCACCUAGGCGACGAUACAUAGCCGACCUGAGAGGGUGAUCGGCCACACUGGGACUGAGACACGGCCCAGACUCCUACGGGAGGCAGCAGUAGGGAAUCUUCGGCAAUGGACGAAAGUCUGACCGAGCAACGCCGCGUGGGUGAAGAAGGUUUUCGGAUCGUAAAGCUCUGUUGUAAGAGAAGAACGGGUGUGAGAGUGGAAAGUUCACACUGUGACGGUAUCUUACCAGAAAGAGACGGCUAACUACGUG